rnacentral:lncRNA from 1 species
UCUAAUUGUAAUUCAAAGAUGAUCAACUGAGGCAUAAUUUACCAUUUAGAGUAUUACAUACUGUUAAAACAUAAUGGGAGAACAACUUGUAUUGAGAAUGAUCCACAAGGAAAGAGAAUGGCAAAACUCUCAAGUUCACCAAGACUCGUCUGCUAGUCUCAUGGUUAGGAUUUCAAUCUCACAAUUACCAUUUCACAUAUUUGAAUCUCCAUGAGCACUAGCAACAACCAUUGAUGCACAAGUUUUCAAAUGCUUGAAGAAGACAUGUGCUUGUUCUUCUAUCCUCCAAAAAUUUCAAAUUCAUGAAUUAGUCAACUAUAGGAAGCUUUCGGAUGAAACCGGGCCCAUAUCCUAAAAUUCAAAACAGAGGCAAUAAAAUAAUAAGAGAGAGCAUAGGGGAGUUGAAUUACCAAGAGACAAAUGUGUAAUUAAGUAUUUGCUUAGAUGCAUUUACUGUUUUAUAUUUUUAAAAGGAGAAAAUAGCUUGUUUAUAUAAAAUACAAAAAAAAUUAAAGACUUACAUUCACAUGAUAAUAGUUUUAAAAAUUGUUUAAAAUUUUGAAGUAUUAAAAAUGUUUUCUUACCUCAAAUUUUAAAAUUUUUUGAUGUAAUUUUAAAAAAAAUAAAAGGUAAGUCUACUUUUUGUACAAGAGUUUCUACUUUUUAUAUAGAAAUAAUUCUUAUUUUUGUUUUUUUCUCUCUUAAAAGUAUAUCUAAACAAGAUCAAAGACUGCAUUAAAACUUCAUCUUGUCAUAAUGAAUAUACCGUCUAAAGUAAGCCACUAAAUAAUAUGAAUCCUUUGCUCUUUACCACCUCAUUGUAGAUUGAAAUUUCAAAUUUGUGCUCGAUUCCAAGGCUUUUGAGAAGGAUUCCUCACUCCCAAGAGUACUUUAGAAGAUGAAUCCCUAUGUUAAUUGCAAAAAAACAUCUAGUGAGUAAUAAUGUGAAUUCAUCCUAUUCUUAAGACAAACUUUGUCACAAGUAUCUAUAGUACGAAUGCUCACAAAUUAUCAAACUUACAAUUAUUCAUGUGAAGGAAAAUCCACCCAAAGUAUCCUGAUUUCUCAAAAACAGAGUCAAUUAGGAAUAUGACCUGGUUGUAGGAGCUUCCUAUAGAGCAGAUAAUAUUCAAAAUAAUUGUCAUUUUUAAAGAUUAAGCUUGAUCCACAGCACAAAAUAUUAAAAUUAUAACUAUUCCAUAUAUGGAAAGAAAACAUCUCAAAAGCAAACUUAGAAGAUAAAAAUAGAUAUAAAAUAAAUUUUUGCAUAGAAUUGAAUAAUUUUUUUCAUAGACUCUAAAAAGUAGAUAAGACAAAAAUAAAUUUCACUUAAAGGACACACUUCUAGAAUUCUAAAAGAGCAUAUAGUAUUUUCAUAUUAGACUUGUUAUUCACCCAAUUGAAUAUGACAAGAAAACAAGCAGAAUAUAGUAAUAGUUACCUACCUCAGCUAGAGCUUAUUACAAGCUUUGACCGUUUCACUUUGGGACAGUGAGGUUGUAGUUCUAACUCAUUGAGCUCCUUUGUUAAGACCACCUGCCCAUACCAAAUUAACGAAAGGGAAAAAAAGAAAUAACUUAAAAUCCUUUUUUUUUUUUUUGGGUUUGCGUGUGUCGUAAGGGUGUAAUUCACCAUAAAACAUCUUGUAAAAACUGAAGAAACCUUAUAUGUAAUACAUGACCCGAACUUGCUAAGAAUAUUGUCACUAUCAUUGUCCUAUCAAUUCAGUUUGUGAUGUACUAGCUCAAUUGCCUGUUAGAAUGAUUCAAGUAAUGAAUAACUUUCCAUUAGUAUUUGGUAAAAUAGAAUAAAUACCAUCAAAAUAUUCAAAUAUGCUCACAGUUCAUCAUAGUGUGAGAGUUGAUUGCAUUUCUUUCAUUCCAUAAGAAUCUCCACUUUUUAGUCCUACUAUGAUGGGGAAAUUAAAUUAGGUUAUACUUACCAAUCAAAAAAAUCAGAAAAACUAGUUUCAAAUUUAAGGGAGAGGUACAAGAAAAUACUGUUGUCAUAAAAUAGAAUAAAAUAUUAAGAAGCAAAAUCAAAGUUUUGAGGAAAAUGCCAAUUCACUUCCUAUAAAUUUGACAAAUCUUGUUUGAAAAUCUGAAAUGUGUUUAACCUUUUCUAUAUUUUUAAAUAUUUUUUUAAAUAACUUUAAUUUGUAAAUACUUAAUUUUCAAUCAU